AUUGAACGCUGGCGGCAGGCCUAACACAUGCAAGUCGAACGGUAACAGGAAGCAGCUUGCUGCUUUGCUGACGAGUGGCGGACGGGUGAGUAAUGUCUGGGAAACUGCCCGAUGGAGGGGGAUAACUACUGGAAACGGUAGCUAAUACCGCAUAACGUCGCAAGACCAAAGAGGGGGACCUUAGGGCCUCUUGCCAUCGGAUGUGCCCAGAUGGGAUUAGCUAGUAGGUGGGGUAACGGCUCACCUAGGCGACGAUCCCUAGCUGGUCUGAGAGGAUGACCAGCCACACUGGAACUGAGACACGGUCCAGACUCCUACGGGAGGCAGCAGUGGGGAAUAUUGCACAAUGGGCGCAAGCCUGAUGCAGCCAUGCCGCGUGUAUGAAGAAGGCCUUCGGGUUGUAAAGUACUUUCAGCGGGGAGGAAGGGAGUAAAGUUAAGACCUUUGCUCAUUGACGUUACCCGCAGAAGAAGCACCGGCGAACUCCGG
rnacentral:rRNA from 1 species